AUUUUUAGGAGGUCCAGGCUGAUAGCAGCAGUCAAGGCCCAGUGUGCCAGAGUAUGCAUAGCCCCUGUCACCAGCAGGCCGAUGGACUGGGUUUGCUGUACUUGUGAGUCCUCUGGAAGUAUUACAGGACCCUGUGAUGAAGCCUUCCGAUUUUGUAUUUCAAGGUCCCAUCCUGGUAGCCCAGAGGAAUGGCCGAGGAGUUGUGGUAUACCCUGAGAUGACGGUGUCGGCCUCCAAGCAGGCCUGAGGUGUGUGGCCUGAGCAUUCUGAGCAGAAUGACCAAGAGAGAACAGCCUGGGGACAACUGGAACUUCCCAGACAGGCAGGAGGCCUCCCCUGAUGGGGAUUUGCAUCCCCAGAUGUGUGCAAGAUAAGUCGCGGGCUACAACCCACAGAGGGGAUGGAAGAGAGGUGCCAGGUUGGGACUCCCCAGGAAGGGUUUUUGAGUCAGAUUUGGAGAUGGGGUUGUCCAAGAAGCAUCUCCUUAGGCCCUCUAAAGGGAAAGUGUCUGUUUUGAUCUCAGUGCUGAGGUGCGCAGGGCAGAGCAGUUCCGGUGUGUGUCCUGUCACUUGUCUCUGGUGCACUCUGUGUUGUUUGGGUCUUUCGGUCCUUUCUUCUCAUCAGAAGCUCACUCUCCCUCUCCUGUCCCCUCGUUUGUCACGUCCUGUCCUGUGUCACGGGUGUCCUGUCCUGUCUCCCGGAGCUGCACUGCUCUGCUGCAUAGCCUGUAAUAGCACAAGUCCUGUGGACUUGAAAUUUGUAAUGCAGGGUGUAUUUGAGCUCUAGAUUGUAUUAGGAGAUUGAUGUAAGAUGUCUGGUGCUGUUAAGUUGUCCUGCUGCCAUUUGACACUAGUCCUAACUUCCUUUCAGAUGCAGAAAGUUCAAAUCAGUGGCAGAGAGCCCCAGUCCUGGGUGAGGGUGUUGCCAUGAGCAGGAGGUCCAGGCAGAUAGCAGCAGUCAAGGCCCAGUGUGCCAGGGAAUCCCCUCGCAUUAUGCGUAGCCCCUGUUGCCAGCGGGCCGAUGGACUGGGUUUCCUGCGCCUGUGAUCCCUCUGGCAGUGUUUCAGGACUCUGUGAUGAAGCCUUGAAAUUUUGUAUUUCAAGAUGGUAUCCGAGUAGCCUUUGGUAAUUGCUGAGGAGUUGCAGUGAGACGCCAAGGUAGGGAGGGGGAGCCAAGGUCCACUUAGGUUUCAGCAUUGCUGUGUCACUUUGUCUCUUCUUCACCCAGGCAGACCCUGCGAUGACAGUGGCAGCCUCUGGGCGUGGCCAAAGUCUGUGGCCCGAGCAACCGGGCAUUCUUAGGAGAAUGCUGGGCAAGGGACCACAGCCUGGUGACCAUAGGACAUUCCCAGCAGAUGAGGCAGCCUCCAUUCGCACGCAACAUGGAUUCUCAUCCCCAUAUGUCUGAGAGAUAAGUCGAGGGCUAAGGCCCACAGAGGGGACGAAAGGAAUCUACUCGGAGUACUCAUACCUCCAUCACCAACUGGACAACGGACCGGUGCCAGGAGCGUGGCUUCUCGUUUUCCAGCCUUCCUUGCUGUGGCGGUUUUGAGGAACUUACUGGAUGGUUUUCUUUUGUUCAUAGUUGGUGUAGGAGAACGGCCAUGGUGUGCUUUUUGCUUCUUACGGUUCUUGGUUCAGGUGCUCAUGACAAGGGUUUUUUUUGGGUUGAGUCUUGUGGUUGGAUUUCUUUUUGAUGGGUUCUUAUGUUUUUGAAGGAUGUGUUUUUAAAGGUUUAUAAUGUUUUUUAUGGGUCAUAGCAUGAAGUAGAGGGUAGGUUUUUAAUUCGGUUGUGGAGGCUUUUAUUGGCGUGAGUAUGUAGUGGUUUAUUUUGGUUGGUUUGAGGUAGUGUCCUGUAGUUUAUUAUUGAGGUUUUUUUAAUAUUGAUAAUUGCAUUCUUGUUUAUUAUGUUGUAGGGGUUUUAUUUGUUUGUCUUGUUUGAUUGCUUUGUGUGUUUAAUGUCUCAGACAAUUUGGGAGUUAUUAUUUAUGGUUACUUUUCUCUUUUGGUGACAUGUUUAUUUCUAGGUGGUAUUUGUGUUUUGAUGGUUUAAGGCAUUCUGAGGUCCUUGAGUUAGGAAUUAUUAUUUUGUUGUUGUGAAUAUAUUUUUUUUGUAGUUGGAUAUAUUUGUUGUUUUUUAUUAGUUUGAUUUUUGGGAACAUGGGUAUUUCUAUGGUGGAUCUUUAUAGGUAGUUAUUUUAUUUGGGUGGUGAGUUUUUUGUUUCUUCAUGGUUUCGAUUUUUUUAUAUCUGUAAUUAUUUGGGGGGAGUUUAGUUAAUUUUAUAGAGUAUUGGGUUCUCUUGAUGAGUUAGUGUAGUGGUAGGGUAUUGUUUGGUUUUUUUUAAGAAACAUUUGGGAUCUGUUUUAUGGUUUGUAGUAUAAGAGGUUAGUUGAAGAGUUUUUUUCUUUUUAGUGUUUUUUUUGUUUUGUGUGGGUUUUUAUAGGUGUUUUUUUUUUUUAAUUAAUGUUCCAUUUUUGUUAUGUGAUAAGAGCUGUUAGUGAAAGGAGUGUAGUGGGGUUUUUUUUGCUGGUAGUUGGUUGGCUGGUGGAGCCUUUCUGAAUUUUUUGGAUGGUAUUCUUGGUUAUUCAAUGCUGUUUGUUUUGGCAUUUUAUUUUUAGGAAUUGGAUUAGAACUGCAAAGUUCUAACUGUAACUCUAAUGAAACAAAACAAAUGCAUAAAUAUGAAAAUGGGAAUAUAAAACUUCAAUUUUAAAUAUAAACGGAAAGCAUAUAAAUAAAACAUGUAACAUAAAUAAUGUUAUCCUUUACUAUUAGAUAGUAUAUUGUUUGAUAUAUAGUAUUUUGUUUAUAUAAAUACAUAUAAAUAUAGAUUAUAAAUAUGAAUAAAAUCCAUAUAAAACCUCCAUAUUGAGAUGUAUAAUUAAUACAUGUGGAUAUAUAAAUAUAAAAAUUACUAAAUAAUAGAAAUCAAUACAGUACAUAAUGCAUAUUUUACUGUGUAUGUCCUAUUUUAACACAUUCUAUGUCCUAAAUAUUAUAUAUCGAAAUACGGUACCUCAAUAUAUUGUAAUCGAAUAUAUAACAACUUGUAAAAAUCAAAAAUAGAAAGGUAGAAAUAUUUAAAUAUAGUUUAAAAUAAAGGGGAUUUUUAUUUUGUAUUUGGUAGUAGGUAGGGUUUUUUUAAUAAAAUCUAUAAAUAUAAAUAAAAUAAAAUUAGAAAUCUGUGUAUAGAAAUACAUCCUAAAUACCUUAAGAUCUAUAUAAAAAAUUCAAAGGUAAGUAAAAAUAAAUAUUAGCAGUAUCUAUGAAGUAUAAUAUAAAUAAUAAUUUGUCUAUCUUGCUACCUUAAUAUAUAUAUGAUACAUAUUUAUAAACACAUCACUAUAAAGUAGAAAUGCAAAUGUGACUAUAAUGAUGAAAAAAACAUGUAAAUAUUCAAGUAUCGUUUAAAGAAAGGGCUUUUUUUGGUUUUUAUUUGGUUAGAGGCAGGGUUUUAAUGGAAGAAAAAUGAAUAUACCUUUUGAUAUCAUUCUAAGUAUAGAAAUAUAUAUUCAAUGUAUACAGAGAUAUAUAAAAAUAUAAAAUAGAAAUGAAAAUAAGUAUUCGGAAUAGAUAGAAUAUAAAUAACACCAUACAUCAAUCUACAUUUUAAAUGUAAAUUUGAAUAUAAAUGCGAAAAAUAGAGAUAAAUUUAAAUGCAGUUUGAAAGAUAAGGGGUUUUUAAAAGAUUUUUACUUGGAUAGAGGCAGGGGUUUAUUUUAAGCAAUAUAAAACUUUUAGAAAUAGAAUAAUGUAAGAAUAGAAAUAUGUAAGUAAUGUAUUAAGCAAUGUAAAAAAAUGUAAAUUGUAAUAAAAUAUAAUAGGAAUAAAUGUAAGAAAUUAUUAAAAUUGCAAUUAUACAUCAAUAUGCAUUAUAAAUCUGAAUGUGAAUAUAAAUAUGUAAAAUAUAAAAAUAAAAUAUAUUGAGAUGCAGUUUGAAAGAAAAGGCUUUUUCUUUUGGUUCUUAUGGGGUUAGAGGCAGGGGUUUUUUGCUGGCGUUCUUUUCCACACGGGAUGUUUUGGGGCAUUUGCUGCCGAGGACGUUCCGGAGGGGCGGGCGGCAGUGCUGCCGCCUAGUGGACACAGAGCGGUACUGCAGCCCGCCGCUCGCGGCCGCUAUCUCGGGAGUGACCUGUCGCGGACUCGCGUGCCGUGCACACGGGCUGUGGGCUCAGCGGCUCCGUGGGCGGGUGGAUUUCGAGCAGGCGCUGACCGGCAUCGGCAGAUUUGCCUCUCUCUGCCCAGCUCCUGCAGCGGCCGCCAUCCUGGGCGCGGCCCUUGCCUCUACCACGCUGGGUGCCCGUCCCGUCCCCUCCCGUGCAUUCCCACCGCCUCCCUGCCGUACAGCUGGAAAUAAACAAAACCAACGUAGAAAUAUACAUAGGUUAAAAAGAAAGGGCUUUUGGGGCGGGGCGGCCUUAUUUGGUUCGAGGCAGGAUCUUUUAGUUUCUGUGCGGGAUUUUUUGGGACAUUUAUUUCGGAGGAUUUUUUCCCAAGGGGAUCGAUCGCUGCCGCUCUUUUCCCCCUGCCUCCCCUCCGGGCGAGCGGCGGCCCCCGGCUGUGGCGGGCGGCAGUUCUGCCGCCUUGUGGACACAGAGUGGUACUGCAGCCCCACAGCCAGCGCCCGGCCGAAAACCACCGAGACGGGGCGGGAGGGGCCAGAGCGGCCCCAAACCCACCGAGACGGGGCGGGAGGGGCCAGAGCGGCCCCAAACCCACCGAGACGGGGCAGGAGGGGCCAGAGCGGCCCCAAAACCCACCAAGACGAGGCGGGAGGGGCGCGGGGCGGCAGCGAGCGGUGAGCGGGGCGGUGUGUCUGUCUCGGCUGUCACACCUGUCCUGAGGAAAGCCCUGUGGAAGGAGCUCGGUGCCACGAUUCAGGACCCUGAGGCCACUGUGAAACUGCAAAUUCUUUCCAAGCUGUUGCCACCUCCGGGAAGCAAAGGGCUGCACAACCUGAUGGACUGCCUUCCUGCUGCUCCGGAGAGAGCAGGCAAUGAAGAGAGCUGGGCCGUGGCAGAUGCCAUAUCCACGGUGCUUAAAAACUCAGAGGAGCUGCAUUCCUGGAGGAGACAUCUCUUCUCAGCCUGCAUAAAGGGGUUAGUUGCCAUGUACAGCAGCAGUAAAGAUGAAGGCAAGCAAGAAGUGGAGAGGUCCAUGCUGCUGAGGCUAGAGGAAUUAUUGUGUGUGGUUGAAGAAGUGGACCCAGAUGACUGGUGUGACCUUGUGAAGACAGGGCUCAAGUACCGUUACAGAGAUGAAACAUUUCUGAAGGUCCUGAACGUUGCCAUCCAGUUACUAUACAUGAAAGAAUCCUCACUUAGAGCGUAGUCAAGCUCUCCAAACUACACAUGGUGGUCACACAGCACUCUCUAUUUUUGGCAGCCAUCCUGAGGUCAAGAGAAGAAGAUGGCAUGAGCGUCCAGACAAGAGGACAGGAGAAAUCAUUGAGCUCCUCCCAUCUUUGCCAGAAGCUUCAGUGUUUAAGCAGCCAGAGCCAAGAGGCUUCAGCACCAGGGGUGUGCGCUGGAGGGCUCCUGGUCCUGCCCAUGCUGUGGGGGAGCCAGGACUGGCACAAGGACUCGUACAGGUGCUGCUCUGGCACUGGAGCUGUUGCCCUGUGGAGCCAUUUUAAAGGUGUGAUUAUGGAACAUUUUGGAGGCCGUUUCUGGAAUUCCAUUUGUAGCUGGAUCUCACUCCGAGUGCAGCAGUCCAUAUGCUGCACUCACCUCUGCAGACAAGCGCUGAGCUCUCACUGCAGGAACCCGUCAGGCCUCGGUGGCUGAAAGGGAUGCACAUCCCUGCCUGCAGCACACCUCCAGUGGGACCCACCUGUGAGAGUUUUCCAUCACUUCUGCACCUCCAGCUGGCUCCCUGGAAAUCUCCAAACAUCAUCGCACUCGAACCUCUGAUUUUAA